AGAUUGAACGCUGGCGGCGUGCCUAACACAUGCAAGUCGAGCGGUAACGCGGGAGCAAUCCUGGCGACGAGCGGCGAACGGGUGAGUAAUACUUCGGAAUCUACCCACGGGUGGGGAAUAACCAGCCGAAAGGUUGGCUAAUACCGCAUACGCCUACGGGGAAAGCGGGGAGUCGAAAGACCUCGCGCCGGUGGAUGAGCCGAAGUCGGAUUAGCUAGUUGGUAGGGUAACGGCCUACCAAGGCGACGAUCCGUAGCUGGUCUGAGAGGACGACCAGCCACACUGGGACUGAGACACGGCCCAGACUCCUACGGGAGGCAGC
rnacentral:rRNA from 1 species